rnacentral:rRNA from 1 species
GACGAACGCUGGCGGCGUGCCUAAUACAUGCAAGUUGAGCGAUGAAGUUUGGUGCUUGCACCAAUUUGAAGAGCAGCGAACGGGUGAGUAACGCGUGGGGAAUCUGCCUUUGAGCGGGGGACAACAUUUGGAAACGAAUGCUAAUACCGCAUAACAACUCUAAACAUAAGUUUUAAGUUUGAAAGAUGCAAUUGCAUCACUCAAAGAUGAUCCCGCGUUGUAUUAGCUAGUUGGUGAGGUAAAGGCUCACCAAGGCGAUGAUACAUAGCCGACCUGAGAGGGUGAUCGGCCAAAUUGGGACUGAGACACGGCCCAAACUCCUACGGGAGGGAGCAGUAGGGAAUCUUCGGCAAUGGACGAAAGUCUGACCGAGCAACGCCGCGUGAGUGAAGAAGGUUUUCGGGUCGUAAAACUCUGUUGGUAGAGAAGAACGUUGGUGAGAGUGGAAAGCUCAUCAAGUGACGGUAACUACCCAGAAAGGGACGGCUAACUACGUG